rnacentral:lncRNA from 10 species
GGAAAUGGCUCCGAGAGGCUUUGACGCAUGUGUACCUUUUUAGUGGCGGUAUCUCGGCCGGGGAUUUUCGGGCUCCAGUGGAGGUGGCUAUGCUCACCCCAUCUCCCUUGAGAGGCACAGAAGGUUAGAGAUGUGUGCGAGGAACGGCCAGGUCCAGCGUCUCCUCGUUGCUGCCCCUUGAGCCCGGGACCGGCGCCAAUGCGCGCCCGGGUUCUUGGGUUCUUUCGUCCCGCAGACCUGCCUUGGUGUGGCGUCCCUGGGCCGUAGCUUCCGAAGGCUGCAGCCGACCUGGUCGGGGUCCUCUAGCCCGCCUUCCCCUUCCCCCAUUGACAGAUGGAGAAACUGAGGCCCAGGCCAAAAAAUAUCUCACUAGAGGGCUCACCGCCAUUUCCUGGAAAAAUUGGGGCUGGGACUCAACGGACGCUCGUCCAGCAGCAGCGCGGAGCUCCGAAGGUCAGGUUGGCCAUCCGCAGGCGUAGUUGCUAGGAAGGUUUGACAGAUGUCCGCCUGUUGAUUCAGACGUUCCCAGGAUUUGGAGCAAGAAGAGCAAGGAAGGCCAGGCGCGGUGGCUCACGUUUGUAAUCCCAGCACUUUGGGAGG